rfam:Echinostoma caproni strain Egypt genome assembly, scaffold: ECPE_scaffold0007123
GCACCGCUGACGAGUCCCAAACAAGACGAAACAGGUGUUCAGUGC